UGAUUCUGCAAUUGUGAUUACUUACCUGC
rnacentral:piRNA from 1 species